rnacentral:rRNA from 1 species
GACGAACGCUGGCGGCGUGCCUAAUACAUGCAAGUCGAACGCAGUGGGGACGGGUGAGUAACACGUGGGUAACCCCCCAUCAGAGGGGAGAACACUAGGAAACAGGUGCUAAACCGAUACGGAUGGAUGGACACGCGGUGCAUUAGCUAGUUGGGGAGGUAACGGCCCACCAAGGCCAUGAUGCAUAGCGGACCUGAGAGGGUGAGAGGCAAUACUGGGACUGAGACACGGCCCCAACUCCUACGUGAGGCAGCGGGGGGGAAACUUGGGCAAGGGUGUAAAGUCUGACCCAGCAACGCCGCGUGGGUGAAGUAGGUUUUCGGAUCGUAAACCCCUGGUGUUAGAGAAGCGGUAUCUAACCAGAAAGCCCCGGCUGACUACGUGCCAGCAGCCGCGGUAAUGC